rnacentral:rRNA from 1 species
GAUGAACGCUGGCGGCGUGCUUAACACAUGCAAGUCGAACGGAAAGGCCCAAGCUUGCUUGGGUACUCGAGUGGCGAACGGGUGAGUAACACGUGGGUGAUCUGCCCUGCACUUCGGGAUAAGCCUGGGAAACUGGGUCUAAUACCGGAUAGGACCACAUUUUGGAUGGUGUGGUGGAAAGUUUUUCGGUGUGGGAUGAGCUCGCGGCCUAUCAGCUUGUUGGUGGGGUAAUGGCCUACCAAGGCGUCGACGGGUAGCCGGCCUGAGAGGGUGUACGGCCACAUUGGGACUGAGAUACGGCCAGACUCCUACGGGAGGCAGCAGUGGGGAAUAUUGCACAAUGGGCGCAAGCCUGAUGCAGCGACGCCGCGUGGGGGAUGACGGCCUUCGGGUUGUAAACUCCUUUCGCUAGGGACGAAGCGUUAUGUGACGGUACCUGGAGAAGAAGCACCGGCUAACUACGUG